rnacentral:rRNA from 1 species
AUUGAACGCUGGCGGCGUGCUUAACACAUGCAAGUCGAGCGGUAACAGGUGUAGCAAUACAUGCUGACGAGCGGCGAACGGGUGAGUAAUGCUUCGGAAUCUUCCUCGUAGUGGGGAACAACCUGGGGAAACUCAGGCUAAUACCGCAUACGAACUACGGUUGAAAGCAGGGGAUCGCAAGACCUUGCGCUAUGAGAUGAGCCGAAGUCGGAUUAGCUAGUUGGUGAGGUAAAGGCUCACCAAGGCGACGAUCCGUAGCUGGUCUGAGAGGACGACCAGCCACACUGGGACUGAGACACGGCCCAGACUCCUACGGGAGGCAGCAGUGGGGAAUAUUGGACAAUGGGCGCAAGCCUGAUCCAGCGACGCCGCGUGUGUGAAGAAGGCCUGCGGGUUGUAAAGCACUUUUAGUGGGGAUGAAAAGCCAAGGGCUAAUACCCUUUGGUCUUGACCUAACCCAAAGAAAAAGCACCGGCUAACUCUGUGCCAGCAG